rnacentral:rRNA from 1 species
UUAGGUGAACCUGCGGAGGGAUCAUUACCGAGUUUACAACUCCCAAACCCCUGUGAACAUACCAAUUGUUGCCUCGGCGGAUCAGCCCGCUCCCGGUAAAACGGGACGGCCCGCCAGAGGACCCCUAAACUCUGUUUCUAUAUGUAACUUCUGAGUAAAACCAUAAAUAAAUCAAAACUUUCAACAACGGAUCUCUUGGUUCUGGCAUCGAUGAAGAACGCAGCAAAAUGCGAUAAGUAAUGUGAAUUGCAGAAUUCAGUGAAUCAUCGAAUCUUUGAACGCACAUUGCGCCCGCCAGUAUUCUGGCGGGCAUGCCUGUUCGAGCGUCAUUUCAACCCUCAAGCCCCCGGGUUUGGUGUUGGGGAUCGGCGAGCCCUUGCGGCAAGCCGGCCCCGAAAUCUAGUGGCGGUCUCGCUGCAGCUUCCAUUGCGUAGUAGUAAAACCCUCGCAACUGGUACGCGGCGCGGCCAAGCCGUUAAACCCCCAACUUCUGAAUGUUGACCUCGGAUCAGGUAGGAAUACCCGCUGAACUUAAGCAUAUCAAUAAGC